UACAGAGGUGGCAAGCGUUGUUCGGAAUUACUGGGCGUAAAGGGCGUGUAGGUGGCUUCUUAAGUCAGACGUGAAAUCCCCCGGCUUAACCUGGGAACUGCGUCUGAUACUGGGAAGCUAGAGUUCGGGAGAGGGAUGUAGAAUUCCAGGUGUAGCGGUGAAAUGCGUAGAUAUCUGGAGGAAUACCGGUGGCGAAGGCGGCAUCCUGGACCGAAACUGACGCUUAAGCGCGAAAGCUAGGGGAGCAAACGGG
rnacentral:rRNA from 1 species